CUCAGGGAGGUAGUGACAAGAAAUAACGACACUGGAAAUUUUAUUUCUAGUGAUUGGAAUGAUGGGAAUUUAAACCCCUUUCAGAGUAACAAUUGGAGGGCAAGUCUGGUGCCAGCAGCCGCGGUAAUUCCAGCUCCAAUAGCGUAUAUUAAAGUUGUUGCAGUUAAAAAGCUCGUAGUUGGAUGUCUGCUGGAAGCAAUCAGUCCGCCCUAUUUGUAGGGUGUGCACUUGAUGAAUUCUGGCAUCUAUGUCCUAAUGUGAUAGAUACGGCGGUGUAUAUGGGUUAAUCCUAUAUACCCGUUUGUAUAUUAUAUUGGGAUAAUACCGUUACUUUGAGAAAAUUAGAGUGUUUGAAGCAGGCUAAUUGCCUUGAAUACUGCAGCAUGGAAUAACAAUAUAGGAUUUCGGUUCUAUUUUGUUGGUUUCUAGGACUGAAAUAAUGAUUAAUAGGGACAGUUGGGGGCAUUCGUAUUUAACUGUCAGAGGUGAAAUUCUUAGAUUUGUUAAAGACGAACUACUGCGAAAGCAUUUGCCAAAGAUGUUUUCAUUAAUCAAGAACGAAAGUUAGGGGCUCGAAGACGAUCAGAUACCGUCGUAGUCUUAACCAUAAACUAUGCCGACUAGAGAUAGGAAAAUGUCAUUUUUCUGACUU
rnacentral:rRNA from 1 species